GAUGAACGCGGCGGCGUGCUUAACACAUGCAAGUCGAACGAAGCUGCCCAAAGGAAGUUUUCGGAUGGAAUUUAGGUAGACUUAGUGGCGGACGGGUGAGUAACGCGUGGAUAACCUGCCUUAUACAGGGGGAUAACGGAGAGAAAUUUCCGCUAACACCGCAUAAGACCACAGCACCGCAUGGUGCAGGGGUAAAAUAUUUAUAGGUAUAAGAUGGAUCCGCGUCCGAUUAGCUAGUUGGUGAGGUAAAGGCCCACCAAGGCGACGAUCGGUAGCCGGCCUGAGAGGGUGAACGGCCACAUUGGGACUGAGACACGGCCCAAACUCCUACGGGAGGCAGCAGUGGGGAAUAUUGGACAAUGGGGGAAACCCUGAUCCAGCGACGCCGCGUGAGUGAAGAAGUAUUUCGGUAUGUAAAGCUCUAUCAGCAGGGAAGAAAAUGACGGUACCUGAUAAGAGCCCCGG
rnacentral:rRNA from 1 species